AGGACGCCGAAGGUGGGGCUAAUGACUGGGGUGAAGUCGUAACAAGGUAGCCGUACCGGAAGGUGCGGCUGGAUCACCUCCUAACAGGGAGACAACAAAAUGUUUAAUAUUAUUAUUUUGUCACCUUAGGUCGAUCGGUAUCUCACGUUCUUAAUUUAUUAAGAAUUUCAUUUCCUAAGUUUUUCUAGGUCACACCCAUUAUUUUCCUGGGCCAUUAGCUCAGGUGGUUAGAGCGCACCCCUGAUAAGGGUGAGGUCCCUGGUUCAAGUCCAGGAUGGCCCAUAUCUCUAUGUUGGGGGUAUAGCUCAGUUGGUAGAGCGCCUGCUUUGCAAGCAGGAUGUCAGCGGUUCGAGUCCGCUUACCUCCACUGAUCACCACCUCUUCCAUAAUCGAUAGAAAGGAAAUGUUUUGAGUUGUGAUCUAAUUCUGAACGAAUCUAGCUUCCUAAUGAAAUUAUUAAGAUGCUGGACUCAUUGAAUUAAUUUCAUUGUUUUCAGAGAACCUUGACAACUGCAUAGAUUAUUUUUUAAAGACAAUAAGCAUCUUUAAUGAUGCAGAUUUAUUAUUUGUGCGAAUGCAUUAAUAACAAUUCUAUUAAGCUGAUGCUUCAAUUUUGAAGUUAUUGGUCAAGCUACAAAGGGCUCACGGAGGAUACCUAGGCACACAGAGGCGA
rnacentral:misc_RNA from 1 species